UGGAAAGGCGUGCGAUACAGGGUGACAGCCCCGUACACAAAAAUGCACAUAUUGUGAGCUCGAUGAGUAGGGCGGGACACGUGGUAUCCUGUCUGAAUAUGGGGGGACCAUCCUCCAAGGCUAAAUACUCCUGACUGACCGAUAGUGAACCAGUACCGUGAGGGAAAGGCGAAAAGAACCCCGGCGAGGGGAGUGAAAAAGAACCUGAAACCGUGUACGUACAAGCAGUGGGAGCACGCUUAGGCGUGUGACUGCGUACCUUUUGUAUAAUGGGUCAGCGACUUAUAUUCUGUAGCAAGGUUAACCGAAUAGGGGAGCCGAAGGGAAACCGAGUCUUAACUGGGCGUUAAGUUGCAGGGUAUAGACCCGAAACCCGGUGAUCUAGCCAUGGGCAGGUUGAAGGUUGGGUAACACUAACUGGAGGACCGAACCGACUAAUGUUGAAAAAUUAGCGGAUGACUUGUGGCUGGGGGUGAAAGGCCAAUCAAACCGGGAGAUAGCUGGUUCUCCCCGAAAGCU
rnacentral:rRNA from 1 species